GGAACGGGUCCUGGCGGUGCUUUGCAAAGGGCCCGUGUUUCUGUUGCGGGAAGCUCCCGGGGGUCGCACGUGCGUCCGAGCCCAAGCCCCUCCCCUCCACUCCCCUUCCUGCGUGCCCCGGAGCCGCCAAGCGGCUACGUUCUUCUCGGCCCGCCGAGAUGGCGCUCGACCCCGCAGAUUUUACCAAAUGUUGCAAGAACUCUGGAGUUCUUAUGGUAGUAAAAUGCCGGAAAGAAAAUUCUGCAUUGAAAGAAUGUCUAACUGCUUAAUAACUGAAUGAAAAUAUCUCUGAGACUUCCUCCAGCCUUGUGAUUUGUUGGAUUAAUAUAAUUUAACUCCUAGAAAGUUGAGAUAAAUCGUAUGGAUGAUAAAAAGCUAUAAUGAUCCAGCCUUUUAUGAAGAAUGCAAAAUGGAAUACCUGAAGGAAAGGGAAGAAUUCAGAAAAACUGGAAUUCCUACAAAGAAAAGGCUACAGAAGCUUCCAACAAGCAUGUAGGCAGAUACUCAAAUGACAUUCAGGAACUCUAAUAUUCAUGGAAGUCAUUUUAUAGUCCUUAAAUAAUGGACUCAAGCAUAUAUGUUUGCUUUACCUUAAUUAUGGAAAUAUUAACUUUAUCUGAAAUAAAUAUUUUAUUUC
rnacentral:lncRNA from 1 species